GACGAACGCUGGCGGCGUGCUUAACACAUGCAAGUCGAACGGAAAGGCCCUGCUUUUGUGGGGUGCUCGAGAGGCGAACGGGUGAGUAACACGUGAGUAACCUGCCCUUGACUUUGGGAUAACUUCAGGAAACUGGGGCUAAUACCGGAUAGGAGCUCCUGCUGCAUGGUGGGGGUUGGAAAGUUUCGGCGGUUGGGGAUGGACUCGCGGCUUAUCAGCUUGUUGGUGGGGUAGUGGCUUACCAAGGCUUUGACGGGUAGCCGGCCUGAGAGGGUGACCGGCCACAUUGGGACUGAGAUACGGCCCAGACUCCUACGGGAGGCAGCAGUGGGGAAGAUUGCACAAUGGGCGGAAGCCUGAUGCAGCAACGCCGCGUGCGGGAUGACGGCCUUCGGGUUGUAAACCGCUUUCGCCUGUGACGAAGCGUGAGUGACGGUAAUGGGUAAAGAAGCACCGGCUAACUACGUG
rnacentral:rRNA from 1 species